GCCACAUCAUGUUGAAACACCGGUCCCCAUACAAUCACCAAAGUUAAGCGACACUGAGCCUGGUUAGUACCUAGAUGGGUGACCACUUAGGAACACCAGGUGCUGUAAG